CGGAUUAGGGCCGGGUUGGUAAGGCGUCUCAUUUGGGUUGGGAAGAAGUUAUGUUCGAAUCAUAAUAAUCCGA
rnacentral:tRNA from 2 species